GACGAACGCUGGCGGCGUGCCUAACACAUGCCAGUCGAGCGAACAGAUCAGGAGCUUGCGCGUCGGUCGUUAGCGGCGGACGGGAGCGUAACAUGUGGAUAACCUACCUAUAAGACGGGGAUAAUUUCGGGAAACCGGAUCUUAUACCGGAGAAUAUAUUGAACCUCGUUGGUCGAUAGUGAAAUACGGUUUUUCUGUAUCUAAUAGCUGGAUCCGGGCCGGAUUAGCUAGUUGUGAAGGUAAUGGCUUACCAAGGCGACGAUGCGUAGCCGACCUCAGAGAGUGAUCGCCGACCUGGGAGGAGAGACAGGGUCCAGACUCCUGCGGGAGGACGCAGACGGGAAUCUUACGCAAUGGGCGAGAGCGUGACAGAGCAACGCGGCGUGAGUGAUGAAGGUGUUCGGAUCGUAAAGCUCUGUUAUUGGGGGAGAACAAAUGUGUAAGUAGCUAUGCAGGUCUUGACGGUACCUGGUCAAAAAGCCCCGGCUAACUACGUG
rnacentral:rRNA from 1 species